AUGCUUCUUUCAAAGAUCGCAUGGUACAAGAUGUUGAUGCGGGAGAACCGUCCCGCAGACGCCUUGUGCCAGACCAAAAACGUGGUUGGCCAACCUCCAAGCUCUCGUGAGCCAAGCCCGGGGGAGGAUGUUGGAAAUAACCACGAUGUAAGAGACAUGUCCGGUAUGGGCUCGGUGCAGUCACUUAAUAGGAUUUGUAUUAGGACUAGUUUAGCCAAUAUAAAUAACUAUGUACCCAUGUACCCCUACGUUUGUAUAACAUCAGAUCGACCAGAAAAAAGCAAUAAAGUUUCAAAUGCUCGACAUAGAGCCUUUUGGCCAACUCGGCGGGUGUGCGUAUUGUGUUUGACGAAUCAAAUAGAUCAAAGUUAG
rnacentral:rRNA from 1 species